rnacentral:rRNA from 1 species
AUGGCGUUCUGGUGGCCGCUGCUGGUGCUCGCCGCCGCCUACGCGCUCUGCCGCGUCCUGCUCUUCCUCAUCCCGCCCACCGUCCCCUCCAUGGAGGUCGACGCCUCCGAUGUGAUGGAGGAGGUCAACCAGAACAAGGAGGAUAGCUUCAUCUACGUACCAAGGAAGGGGAAAGCUGCUCAGACUGAUAUGGUUCGAUGCUACGAGCCAGCUACCAUGAAAUACUUGGGAUACUUUCCUGCUUUAACUCCUGAUGAGGUCCAAGAGCAUGUUGCACAAGCUCGUAAAGCACAAGAGAUAUGGGCGAAAAGCAGCUUCAAACAAAGGCGGCAGUUUCUUCGGAUCCUUCUGAAGUAUAUACUUGAACAUCAGGAUCUGAUAUGCGAGAUAUCAUCUCGUGACACUGGAAAGACUAUGGUUGAUGCUUCAUUAGGUGAGAUCAUGACCACAUGUGAGAAGAUUCACUGGCUUUUGGAUGAGGGUGAGAAAUGGUUAAAACCUGAGUACAGAUCUUGUGGGAGAUCAAUGCUACACAAAACAGCGAAAGUUGAAUUCUAUCCUCUCGGGGUGAUUGGUGCAAUUGUAUCAUGGAACUAUCCUUUCCAUAAUGUGUUCAAUCCGAUGCUGGCUGCAGUAUUCUCUGGUAAUGCAGCAGUUAUAAAGGUUUCAGAGCAUGCGAGUUGGUCCGGCUGUUUUUAUUCCCGUAUCAUACAAGCAGCUCUGUUAGCUGUUGGUGCCCCAGAUAAUCUGGUUCACAUAGUAACUGGUUUUGCGGAAACGGGUCAAGCUCUUGUAUCUUCAGUGGACAAAAUAAUAUUCGUUGGAUCACCUGGCGUUGGAAGGAUGAUUAUGCAAAAAGCAUCGGAAACAUUAAUACCUGUAACUCUUGAGCUUGGUGGCAAAGACGCAUUUAUUGUGUGCGAAGAUGUGGAUUUACCCAAUGUUGUUCAAGUUGCUGUGAGAGCUGCACUGCAAUCUAGUGGACAGAACUGUGCUGGUGCUGAAAGAUUUUAUGUCCACAAGGAUAUCUAUCCUACCUUUGUUUCUCGCGUAGUGAAGAUAAUCAAAUCAAUAUCUGUUGGGCCCCCAUUAUCUGGCAGAUACGAUAUGGGUGCAAUCUGUAUGAUAGAGCACUCUGAGAGACUUCAGAAUCUUGUUAACGAUGCUCUUGACAAAGGUGCUGAAAUUGCUGUCAGAGGGAGCUUUGGUAAUUUGGGUGAAGAUGCGGUUGAUCAGUUCUUUCCUCCAACUGUUCUAGUGAAUGUUAAUCACACAAUGAAAAUUAUGCAGGAAGAGGCAUUUGGGCCGAUUCUACCAAUCAUGAAAUUCUCUUCUGAUGAAGAGGUCAUCCAACUUGCAAAUGACUCUAAAUACGGUCUUGGUUGUGCUGUUUUUUCUGGCAACCAGAAGCGUGCCAUCAAAAUAGCAUCUCAACUACACUGUGGUGUUGCAGCAAUCAAUGACUUUGCUUCAAGUUAUAUGUGUCAGUCUCUGCCCUUUGGUGGUGUUAAAGACAGCGGGUUUGGAAGAUUCGCUGGCGUGGAAGGCUUGCGCGCCUGCUGCCUUGUAAAGGCAGUCGUAGAAGACAGGUGGUGGCCAUAUGUGAAAACAAUGAUCCCCAAGCCUAUUCAGUAUCCCGUCUCGGAGAAUGGAUUUGCAUUCCAGCAGCUGCUCGUCGAGACUCUGUACGGCAUCAGCGUGUGGGACAGGCUGCAGUCGCUCGUGAAUCUGUUGAAGAUGAUCUCGGAGCAGAAGUCUCCUAUAACCAGGAGGAAAAGCAGUCUUUUGGCUGUCGUCCCCAAGGCGCAAGUUUGGUGGGGAUCAGGUUCAGAGCAAGACAGCAUUUAUCUGAAUGUAAAACGCCCUUUAGAACCAGUGCUUAUCCUAGAAAGUGAAGAUCGCAAUCGACGUUGUAAGCCCUGGAUUCGAUUUUCACCUGCCUGA